rnacentral:rRNA from 1 species
GAUGAACGCUGGCGGCGUGCCUAAUACAUGCCAGUCGAGCGAACAGAUGAGGAGCUUGCUCCUCUGACGUUAGCGGCGGACGGGUGAGUAACACGUGGAUAACCUACCUAUAAGACUGGGAUAACUUCGGGAAACCGGAGCUAAUACCGGAUAAUAUAUUGAACCGCAUGGUUCAAUAGUGAAAGACGGUUUUGCUGUCACUUAUAGAUGGAUCCGCGCCGCAUUAGCUAGUUGGUAAGGUAACGGCUUACCAAGGCAACGAUGCGUAGCCGACCUGAGAGGGUGAUCGGCCACACUGGAACUGAGACACGGUCCAGACUCCUACGGGAGGCAGCAGUAGGGAAUCUUCCGCAAUGGGCGAAAGCCUGACGGAGCAACGCCGCGUGAGUGAUGAAGGUCUUCGGAUCGUAAAACUCUGUUAUUAGGGAAGAACAAAUGUGUAAGUAACUAUGCACGUCUUGACGGUACCUAAUCAGAAAGCCACGGCUAACUACGU